UUCACAAGGCUCCCACAGAACAUUUCCAUUUUACAAAUUGGGAAUCAGGGAGAAGAAGGACUUUAUGUAUUGCUCAAAGGCAUAAAAUGAAGCAAAGAAUCCCAACUCCAGGCUAACAUUUGCUGCCAAAUCAGUCUUCUUACUUACUGCCCUUCAUGGUCAUUAAGAAAGAAACCAGACUCCAGUUCUAUCACGGGCCUGCUCAUCAGCGUGUGCACAGAGCAGCUCAGAUCCCAGCUUGGAUGCUUCAGGGUCACAGCCUUCAUCAGCUCCACCAGCAGAAGCCUUGUCAGCUCCUGAGCCAACAUCCAAAUGCUUUCCUAACGCUUGGCUACCUUAGAGAACAGCAAUGCUGAACCCUGAGAAGCAAUCGAAGGUAAUCUAUCAGGUGCUGCCUGACGUUGGGCUGGCACAGAGCUCUUUUACCGAGCUCUGGUUAAACGGAGAUGGCAUUUGCUGGUUUUAGCCUCCAUUCCAUGCCCUGGUAUUACCACCAGAAGCUGUUAUCUGCCUAU